rnacentral:rRNA from 1 species
UUAUCCGGAAUUAUUGGGCGUAAAGCGCGCGUAGGCGGUUUUUUAAGUCUGAUGUGAAAGCCCACGGCUCAACCGUGGAGGGUCAUUGGAAACUGGAAAACUUGAGUGCAGAAGAGGAAAGUGGAAUUCCAUGUGUAGCGGUGAAAUGCGCAGAGAUAUGGAGGAACACCAGUGGCGAAGGCGACUUUCUGGUCUGUAACUGACGCUGAUGUGCGAAAGCGUGG